GACGAACGCUGGCGGCGUGCUUAACACAUGCAAGUCGAACGGAAAGGCCCUGCUUUUGUGGGGUGCUCGAGUGGUGAACGGGUGAGUAACACGUGAGUAACCUGCCCUUGACUUUGGGAUAACUUCAGGAAACUGGGGCUAAUACCGGCUAGGAGCUCCUGCUUCAUGGUGGGGGUUGGAAAGUUUCGGCGGUUGGGGAUGGACUCGCGGCUUAUCAGCUUGUUGGUGGGGUAGUGGCUUACCAAGGCUUUGACGGGUAGCCGGCCUGAGAGGGUGACCGGCCACAUUGGGACUGAGAUGCGGCCCAGACUCCUACGGGAGGCAGCAGUGGGGAAUAUUGCACAAUGGGCGGAAGCCUGAUGCAGCAACGCCGCGUGCGGGAUGACGGCCUUCGGGUUGUAAACCGCUUUCGCCUGUGACGAAGCGUGAGUGACGGUAAUGGGUAAAGAAGCACCGGCUAACUACGUG
rnacentral:rRNA from 1 species